ensembl:miRNA gmo-mir-29b-1 gmo-mir-29b-1
GCUGGUUUCCGAUGGUGGCUUAGAGUGCGGUCCUCCAUCUAGCACCAUUUGAAAUCAGUGU